rnacentral:rRNA from 1 species
GAUGAACGCUGGCGGCGUGCCUAAUACAUGCAAGUCGAACGCUGGAAAUCUAGCUUGCUAGAUUGAAGGAGUGGCGAACGGGUGAGUAAUACAUAAGCAACCUACCCACGAAGACUGGGAUAAUCUCUGGAAACGGGGACUAAUACCGGAUAGGUAAUCGGAAGGCAUCUUCUGAUUAUUAAAGGUUAAAAACACUGGUGGAUGGGCUUAUGGCGCAUUAGUUAGUUGGUGAGGUAACGGCCCACCAAGACGAUGAUGCGUAGCCGGCCUGAGAGGGUGAACGGCCACAUUGGGACUGAGACACGGCCCAGACUCCUACGGGAGGCAGCAGUAGGGAAUUUUCGGCAAUGGGGGAAACCCUGACCGAGCAACGCCGCGUGAGUGAUGCCGGCCUUCGGGUUGUAAAGCUCUGUUGUAAGGGAAGAACGGUAGAUAGCGAAUAUCUAAAUGACGGUACCUUACCAGAAAGCCACGGCUAACUACGUG